AGUGAACGCUGGCGGUAGGCCUAACACAUGCAAGUCGAACGGCAGCACAGUAAGAGCUUGCUCUUACGGGUGGCGAGUGGCGGACGGGUGAGGAAUACAUCGGAAUCUACUUUUUCGUGGGGGAUAACGUAGGGAAACUUACGCUAAUACCGCAUACGACCUACGGGUGAAAGCAGGGGAUCUUCGGACCUUGCGCGAUUGAAUGAGCCGAUGUCGGAUUAGCUAGUUGGCGGGGUAAAGGCCCACCAAGGCGACGAUCCGUAGCUGGUCUGAGAGGAUGAUCAGCCACACUGGAACUGAGAUACGGUCCAGACUCCUACGGGAGGCAGCAGUGGGGAAUAUUGGACAAUGGGCGCAAGCCUGAUCCAGCCAUACUGCGUGGGUGAAGAAGGCCUUCGGGUUGUAAAGCCCUUUUGUUGGGAAAGAAAAGCAGCAGGUUAAUACCCCGCUGUUCUGACGGUACCCAAAGAAUAAGCACCGGCUAACUUCGUG
rnacentral:rRNA from 1 species